GCACGCGCCGGCUCCGGCGGACGGCUCAGUAACACGUGGCUAACCUACCCUCGGGAGGGGGAUAACCCCGGGAAACUGGGGAUAAUCCCCCAUAGGUGUAGACUUCUGGAAUGGGUCUACGCCGAAAGGGCUACGGCACCAUCCCUGCCGUAGCCGCCCGAGGAUGGGGCUGCGGCCUAUCAGGUAGCUGGCGGGGUAACGGCCCGCCAAGCCUAUAACGGGUAGGGGCCGUGAGAGCGGGAGCCCCGAGAUGGGCACUGAGACAAGGGCCCAGGCCCUACGGGGUGCACCAGGGGCGAAACUUCCGCAAUGCGGGAAACCGUGACGGAGUCACCCCGAGUGCCACCCGAUGAGGGUGGCUUUUGCCCGGUCUAAAAAGCCGGGCGAAUAAGCGGGGGGCAAGCUUGGUGUCAGCCGCCGCGGUAAUACCAACCCCGCGAGUGGUCGGGACGUUUAUUGGGCCUAAAGCGUCCGUAGCCGGCCCGGUAAGUCCCUCCUUAAAGCCCACGGCUCAACCGUGGGAGCGGAGGGAUACUGCC
rnacentral:rRNA from 1 species